CCUACGGGUGGCAGCAGUGGGGAAUAUUGGACAAUGGGCGAAAGCCUGAUCCAGCCAUGCCGCGUGUGUGAAGAAGGCCUUCGGGUUGUAAAGCACUUUCAGUGGGGAAGAAAGCCUUGGGGCUAAUACCCUCGAGGAAGGACAUCACCCACAGAAGAAGCACCGGCUAACUCCGUGCCAGCAGCCGCGGUAAUACGGAGGGUGCGAGCGUUAAUCGGAAUUACUGGGCGUAAAGCGCGCGUAGGCGGUCUGAUAAGCCGGUUGUGAAAGCCCCGGGCUCAACCUGGGAACGGCAUCCGGAACUGUCAGGCUAGAGUGCAGGAGGGGAAGGUAGAAUUCCCGGUGUAGCGGUGAAAUGCGUAGAGAUCGGGAGGAAUACCAGUGGCGAAGGCGGCCUUCUGGACUGACACUGACGCUGAGGUGCGAAAGCGUGGGUAGCAAACAGGAUUAGAUACCCGAGUAGUC
rnacentral:rRNA from 1 species